UACGUAGGCAGCAAGCGUUGUUCGGAAUUACUGGGCGUAAAGAGUGUGUAGGCGGUUUUCUAAGUUCGGUGUGAAAUCUCCCGGCUUAACUGGGAGGGUGCGCCGAAAACUGGAAGGCUUGAGUGCCGGAGAGGAUAGCGGAAUUCCCGGUGUAGCGGUGAAAUGCGUAGAGAUCCGGAGGAACACCAAAGGCGAAGGCAGUGUCCUGGGGAGUACCUGACGCUCAGGUGCGAAAGCCAGGGGAGCGAACGGG
rnacentral:rRNA from 1 species